AGUGGAGGUUUUUCAGUUGAACUCAGGACCUCAUGCACACUAAGCUUGCACUCUCCCACUAAGCUAUACCCUCCCCCGGAAGGAAGCAUUCUAAUGGAUGCUGGGAGGCAGAAGGGGGCCCAGCAGCUUCCCUGACCGCAGUGGGAACAGCUGACACAGGCAGGUGCGGCCCGUGUCAGUGCAGUCACUGAAGCAGGGGGCAGUAUAAUGCCGUCAUUGGAUAGAUCCUGAGAGGCUGCCCGGAGGUGGAGAUAUUUAAGCCUCAUCCCAGAAAGCGUCCCCAUGUCGGCCAGAGUGAUCUUUGUAACAGGCAAGCCUAAUCGUGGUCAGCUCUCACACGUGUUCAGAGUCACUCCGUGCCUUCCAGCUGUUCUUGGUAAAAAGAUGUGACCUGUCUCGUCACACCUCCAAUGAGAGCAGAGACCUUGAGUCAAGCCUUUUAGAACUCUCUGCUCUCAGCAGUGGGGAAGGAAAACCUAAUAUCUCAUUUGGUGCUUAAAUGCUGUGUCUGCCACAAAUUAAUAUAUCACUUAUCACUCAUUUAGCAUCUAGAGACCUUUCCAUAUCAGCAAAUCCAGAGCUGUUUCUUUUUUCUUCAUAACCCCAUGGUAUUACAUUAUGCUCGAUGUUUCAUAAUUUGUUUAACCAGCCCCAAUCCCACAUAAGGUGUUUCCAGUGCCAUAGGUACACAUUUUGUACAUAGAUCUUAUUAGCUUACUAUUCUUCACUUAAAAAAUUAUUUUAGCAGGGGGUGGUUAAUAGCUCAGUGGUAAAGCACAGAUUUAGCAUGCGUGAGGUCCUGGGUUCAAUCCCCAGUACCACCAAUUUUAAAAACUCUGUAAAAACAAAUUUAUUUUAGCUCUUCCUGUAAAAUUCUGCUUAUUCCUACAUCUUCCAUAUAAACUUUUGAAUCAGUUUUUGAGCCUUCCUGAAAAUUUCUGUUGGAAUUGUCAAUGAAAAUUCAAUUAACCAUCAAAUUAGGAAGAAAAAAAAAAGAGAAUUUUAUUCAAGCCAAACUGAGGGUCAUAGCCUGGGAAGCAGAUUCUGAGAAAGCUCUGAGAACUGUUCUGCCUGUUAAGAGUCGGAGGCGCUGUCAUAUACAUUUUCGAGACAGGAUUGUACGUCAAAAUGACAAGGUGAUAUUUUACAUAGAUUUCACCCAGGAUGCUUAAUCACGUUAAGGACCUACAGAGCAGCAAGGCACCAUGACCCCUUACAGAGCUGAGAAAGAGUGCAUCAGAAGAAAAAAAAAAUUGAUCUUUACUGCCGAGCAGGCCCUCCUAUCUUUGCAGAACUGUGGCUAAUGUGUAACGCAGAUGCAGACUGCACAUCAGGGGGAGAGGGCAGAGGUCCAAAUGGACACAUAGAGAGAAUUUUGUUUAAAUCUUUCUUGUCCACCUUUAAAAUAUAAAUUUUAUUUCAUUGGAAUCUUGCUCAGAAUUGCAAUAAUUAUAUAGGUUAUAUGUAAAAAUGAAAAAGUGAGAACUUGGAAUCUGUUUCUGCACAAGAGAUUCUAUAUGAGUUGUGAUUUUGCACAAGAAGCCAAAAAAGAAAUUAUAAAUUAGAAGCAUAACCCUUCCCCCAAAAGAAAAUACAGUUUUAUUGCAUUGGGA